rnacentral:rRNA from 1 species
GAUGAACGCUGGCGGCGUGCCUAAUACAUGCAAGUCGAGCGAACGGACGAGAAGCUUGCUUCUCUGAUGUUAGCGGCGGACGGGUGAGUAACACGUGGAUAACCUACCUAUAAGACUGGGAUAACUUCGGGAAACCGGAGCUAAUACCGGAUGAUAUUUUGAACCGCAUGGUUCAAAAGUGAAAGACGGUCUUGCUGUCACUUAUAGAUGGAUCCGCGCUGCAUUAGCUAGUUGGUAAGGUAACGGCUUACCAAGGCAACGAUGCAUAGCCGACCUGAGAGGGUGAUCGGCCACCCUGGAACUGGGACACGGUCCAGACUCCUACGGGAGGCAGCAGUAGGGAAUCUUCCGCAAUGGGCGAAAGCCUGACGGAGCAACGCCGCGUGAGUGAUGAAGGUCUUCGGAUCGUAAGACUCUGUUAUUAGGGAAGAACAUAUGUGUAAGUAACUGUGCACAUCUUGACGGUACCUAAUCAGAAAGCCACGGCUAACUACGUG